AUAAUAUUCAGAGGUUGGGAUGGGUGCUGUGACAAAUGGGAAUAGGGCAUUCUGAAAAGUAAAACUAGGGCAGGGUAAUGCCUAAUUCGAAGAGUCAGAAAAGUGACAUCAAGCUGAGAACUAAAGGAUUUCCCUUGAAAUGAAGGCGGUAUGUUCGUAUGGGGCUUGGGGGAAGGCAAGAUUGGAAUUCACAACUGGAUUUAAAAAAUUAGGCAAAUGACAAAGUCAGGAAAUGAUUUGAGAGGAAGAGCUCCAGACCCCCACCACAAAGCUAAGGAGAACUGACCAUCAAGGCUUCAAGAUCUUCAAGAGAUAGUCCACAGAGUCUGUAAAUCACCCACUGUCACGGGAGUUCUUCUACUUGCCUGAUCACAGGAAUCAUCAGACCCUCCACCUAUGAGUUACAUGACCUUCCUGGAGACUUUGGUGCAUUAAUGAUGGGGUGUGGUCCAGAAUACAGAGAAGAGAAUAAAGGACCAGGGGGAUCUUCUCAGGUGACUGCUGUAAUUUGGAUGUGUCUCCCAAAGUUUAUGUGUUGGAAAAGUUUCCAGUGCAACAGUUUUGGGAGGGAGAGUGGUUCAUUUCCAUGCUAAAAUUGAAAUAACAAUAAUACAAGGAAUCUAAGGUUCCAAGAGUCAAAGAAGCUUGCCCAAAUGUCACAGUUAAUGAGAGGAAGAACUGGAACUGAAACACAUGUCCUCAGUCUCCAAACCAUGGGAAGCUUCCACUGAGCCACACUACCACCCCGACAUAACAACUUCUAAGGGUUUCCUUCAAGCAGGGACUGAACUG
rnacentral:lncRNA from 1 species